rnacentral:rRNA from 1 species
UACGUAGGGCGCAAGCGUUGUCCGGAAUUAUUGGGCGUAAAGAGCUCGUAGGCGGUCUGUCGCGUCUGCUGUGAAAGCCCGGGGCUCAACCCCGGGUCUGCAGUGGGUACGGGCAGACUAGAGUGCAGUAGGGGAGACUGGAAUUCCUGGUGUAGCGGUGAAAUGCGCAGAUAUCAGGAGGAACACCGAUGGCGAAGGCAGGUCUCUGGGCUGUUACUGACGCUGAGGAGCGAAAGCAUGGGGAGCGAACAGGAUUAGAUACCCUGGUAGUCCAUGCCGUAAACGUUGGGCACUAGGUGUGGGGGACAUUCCACGUUUUCCGCGCCGUAGCUAACGCAUUAAGUGCCCCGCCUGGGGAGUACGGCCGCAAGGCUAAA